CCGGCCAGCCCCUCCCCUGGUGGGCAAGCACUGAUUUUUUUCAUUCCACUUAGCUUUUCCUGAGCCUGUGCCAUGCACAGUGACUGCUGCUGGGGCAGAUAGAAAUUUUACCUGUUUGAUGCAGCUCCAAUACUCCACCUGCACUAGGACUUCUCCAGCCUAGCUUUUAACGAGCUCCUGCACUGGCACUUGGGCAAUUUCCCAAAAUUACCCUUCAGAACUCUGAGAAGGCACCACGAGAUCAGCAGGCUGCGCUGCAGAUUCCUGAGAAUUUGCACAGCUACACUGGAGACCCCUGAUAAAGCAAAGACCUCUGAUAAAUUGCUGCUUGCGUUACAAGAUUUUUUGAACCCUUGCACAUGUGGUUGGCAUCAGGAAUCAAAUCAUGCAUGUCACUAAAUCUUUUUACAGAGACACAGGAGAUUAAGGCUUAUCUUAUGACUAGGAAGGUUUCUAUUCUCUGUAUCAACAGGAGAAAGUCCUGAAGGUGAACAAACUCCAAAGCCUCCAAUGGCGCAAAGGGGGAGCAGCUUUACGCAUAAUAUGGGUCUUGCUCUAUAAUUCUCUACCACUGCCUUCUGUGACUGCAUCAGCAGUCACCUCUUUUUUUAUCUACUUUAAGUAAGGAGAAACACAAAAUAUCCAAAUAUCCUCAGUUUGCUAUGCAAGAGGCCCAUGAAAGACUUUCUGUGUGACAAGCAUGUUGUCAGAUUCCGGAACAUCACAGAGUUUAAUACAGAAAGCAUGAAAGAACGGGUGAAAUUAUUUAUUUAUGUAAUGAGUAGUGAUGCUGAGUACUUCCAGAUCCCGCUGUCUUUGCUAAGGAAGAAGGUAGAAAUAAUGACAUCAUUACUCUUACAAAGACACGUGAGCACUUCUUUCCAGAAAUAACUGUUAAGCAUAAAAUUUCAGUCAUUAAUCAAAGCGCACGGGGCCUAACCCUUUUUAGAAUUCUAAAAGGAAAUGUGAAGCAAUAUGACUGUAAGGCAACACAAAUGUCAGGGGCACUUAACCUUUAUUCUAAGCAGGUAACUUCAAGAAAAACAUGCCUAGGGGCAGUUUCUCUCUACUGGUGUAGAUUUGUAUUGAUUCUGCAAAGACGCAGCAAGUUUUACCAUUUCGGAGGUUGGUCUCUGCCUGCAAGAAAGAAGGGUACCACCACACGGUAUCAAGAACAUGAAGAAAAGAAAGUAAUAAAAUAUGCUGCAGGAAGGAGCAGAAGACACAUACCCAUGAGGAAAGAAAAACACAGGGUAAACAAAAUGCUUAAGAGACUCUAUCAGGAAAGAGAACUAGCAGAUGCAGCACAAGGGAAUGUGAACUCUGCACAGACACUGAGAAUACAGGUCAACUCCAGAAAGAGAUUGCUUACAAAGAUGAGUCAUUUUAUCUCAGAUCCACAGUUCUGUUGAUAAAUCUCAGAGUGAUUCGACAAGAAGGAAAAUUUCCCAGGGAAUGAGUUCCAGCCCUUGUUUAGAGCAGCGGAAGGUAUUGCUUAGCAGUCUGGGGAGACAAAUAAACUGCCUGUGCCAAUUCAAAACUCAUACAUAGUUGCCAUGAAGGGAAGUGUUAUGUCUGCAUGUGAUUUCCUGGAACAAAUCAAAUGUUUCUGCAGAGGAACCCAUGAAAUGCUGACAAUAUAUUAAGACUGUUUUGUCUGAAAAUGGUUAUCUCAAACUUAUAGUACAGGUCCACUGGGUCAGGGAAAAAAAAUGAAGAAAGGAAAAUUAAUUGUGUUUUAAAAAUUUGACAGAAGAGCCCAAACAAUUUUAGUGUACAAGACUAAAACCAAAAGCUGUUUCAGCACACUAUUAAGAUAAAACAGCAAUAGAAACUGAGAAUAUACAAUUCCACGUACAGCAGACACAUAUAGAGCAGUCCAGCAGCAAAGUCUGCAACAGGGAAAGGGCUGGGCAGAUCUCAAGCUAGGCGGGGUAUUAAGAGAAAAAUACGGUGCUUUUCUGUCACUUCCAACAGUGACUAACAAUUUGUCCAUCCCCAACACGUUCAGUACGUUGUCCAAAGGCACGUGGUUCAGCUGUCCUGACUCUUUGCAUCCCACGUAGAACUGAGCAGCAACCAGAAAGGAUAGUCAUAUCCCAAAUGAAUUCUACACUUCAUGAUGUACAGAGGAACUGCCUCUUUCUGUAUCUUGAAUUGAUUCUGCAUUUUUUAUUUGUCACAUUUAUCACAUCGAUGAAAGACAACUGGAACCAGCACUGGACUAGCAUUGAACACUGAUGGUCCAAGAACUUUGGCCACCAUUCUGCCCAUCACAGGUGGGGCUAGCAACUAUUCUUGAAUUGCUUUGGGAACCACUGGGUGCUGUAUCCUUUCCAGAUGUAAUGGGAGCAUACCUCACAUGAAAGAGAAUAUCUGCUGGCUCCAGUGAGGCCAGCUAAACAAGAAAUCUAGUCAUUGCUACUGCACCAACACACUAGCCCCCAAAGUGCCCUGGAAAAACAUGCCUAGCAGCUGUGUCCUGCUGUGUGGAUAACUUUCAGGGUUAAACUCUAAAAUGAUGUAUGGCAGAUAGGGUUAACCACUUCUGCAGAAUUCAGGUGAGCUCGUAUUUAACUGUAUUUUCACGGCUACACUAGGCCAGGAGCGUGAUGACCCAGGCUCUGCAGCUGCUGGCAGAGUAGCUGCUCAGUUUGGCAGCACAAACAGGCCUCUGGGACCUGCCGGGCACCCCAUGGCUGCUGCUGAAUGCAGUGUCUGGGUUUGGCACUAUCUUCUUAACACAGCCACGGGUUUGACAGG
ensembl:lncRNA